GGGGGUGUAGCUCAGUGGUAGAGUGCAUGCCCUGCAUGCAUGAGGCCCUGGGUUUGAUCCCUGGCAUCUCCA